AGUGAACGCUGGCGGCGUGCCUAAUACAUGCAAGUCGAACGAAGUGGCGAACGGGUGAGUAACGCGUAAUCAACCUGCCCUUCAGAGGGGGACAACAGUUGGAAACGACUGCUAAUACCGCAUACUGAAGGAGGUGAUUGCGUCGGAUUAGCUAGUUGGAGGGGUAACGGCCCACCAAGGCGAUGAUCAGUAGCCGGUCUUAGAGGGUGAACGGCAACAUUGGGACUGAGACACGGGCCAGACUCCUACGGGAGGCAGCAGUGGGGAAUCUUCCGCAAUGGACGAAAGUCUGACGGAGCAACGCCGCGUGAGUGAUGACGGCCUUCGGGGUGUAAAGCUCUGUUAAUCGGGACGCGGUACCGGAAUAGAAAGCCACGGCUAACUACGUGCCAGCCGCCGCGGUAAUAC
rnacentral:rRNA from 1 species